ACCGUUAAAAGUGAAACAUGAUUUAUUAAAUGAAGGAAAACACACACACACACACUUGGUGUGCGUGGGGCGAUCAGGAAUAAGAAGAACAAGGGUUCAAACCCUUGUUCUUGAUAAAUCUUCAAAUUGAAGGGUGGAAUGAAGUCCAAAUUCACAACCGAACAUGAAUUAACGAUCACCUUCACAAGGGGAUCAUAAGGAAUCAUGUCAAGAUGGAUGGGAGCUUUGAAGGCUAACGGGCUAAGAAGACUCAAUCAAGUAAGCGAACGAGAAUACGGACGCGCAAGGCUAUACAUGUUUGGAUGUUUCAUCUAGAAGCGUACGCGGUUGAAGAUCGAGUCAAGACACGGAUUGUAUGUGGGUGUAUACGUAGUCACUUAAGUAAGACAUGUAUGUUAGUUUUUGGAUUAAAUUAUAAAAGAGAUUAAUGUAUUUAAAUGAAAGAAAGAAUAUCAUGAAGGAAAUUUCUAGAUAUGUAGUUUCCGCUGCGAAUCUUAGGUUAAAACGUUUUAGGGCGUUACAACUUUGUAGUAACUUGUUCACGAUAUCGAUACGCCCAAUUUGUCAUCAUCAAGUGUUAUGUAUUUCCGUUUCGACCAUUC